rnacentral:rRNA from 1 species
UACGUAGGGUGCAAGCGUUAUCCGGAAUUAUUGGGCGUAAAGAGCUCGUAGGCGGUUUGUCGCGUCUGCUGUGAAAACUGGAGGCUCAACCUCCAGCCUGCAGUGGGUACGGGCAAACUAGAGUGCGGUAGGGGUGACUGGAAUUCCUGGUGUAGCGGUGGAAUGCGCAGAUAUCAGGAGGAACACCGAUGGCGAAGGCAGGUCACUGGGCCGCAACUGACGCUGAGGAGCGAAAGCAUGGGGAGCGAACAGG